UUGACAUUAUAGAUCAAUAUAUAUAAUUGCAAAUUUAUAAUUUAAUAUUGCUAGUCAAAUGCCUAAUGUCAUAAUGUCUAAGAAUGUAUAUUAUAUAUAUUGAUGUAUAUGAUAAUGUUAAAAAUUAAAAAUAAAUUGCCAUCAGUAUUAAAUAAUUAAAUAAAAAUGGAGGAGAGAGCAAUGCUAUGGAUGCUUUCUCUUGUUAUGUUUGUUGGAUCUUGUCUUGGAGCUGGAUCACUGCCAUUAAGUUAAAUAAAUUUAUCAGAAGAAGUAAGAUAUAGAAGUGAAGAAGAAUAUUUUAUGUAAUAUAAAAUUAUGACAAGUUACAAUUAGUUUCAAUAUUAGGAGCAGGACUCCUUGUUGGUACUGCGCUAGCGAUUAUACCUGACUGUACCUGAGGGUGUAAGAGCAUUAUUUACUGUGGAUGGUAUUAAAUAAUGAAAAAGGCAAUUUACAUACUUUAACUUGGAAUUAGUUUAGUACUUGGUUUAUGCUUUUAAUUGAUCAAUGUUCAGCCAGAAAAAGUGGAGGAAGACAAGAAAAGUAUUACAGCAACUUUAGGUCUUAUAGUAGAUGCUGCUAGUUGAUUGGCGGUGUUGCAUUGGGAGCUGCUGCUACUACAUCUCAAGCUGAUGUCGAAGUGUCUUAGUUUUUCUUCGCAAUAAUGUUACACAAGGCGCCAGAUGCAUUUGGACUUGUGUCAAUUUCUUCUUCAUGAAGGUGUAGAUAGAAAGUAAGAAAAUAAGCAGACACUUAUUAAUUUUCUCUCUUGCGGCACCGUGUCUUGCACUUGUGACAUAUUUUGGAAUUGGAAAAGACAUUCAGAACUGCCGCGCAAGACUGCACGCGCCAAUCAGGCGCGAGAACGGACGCGGACGCGCGAAGACUCCCAAUCAGGAGCGAGGACUGCCGUGCGUGCGCGAAGACGUCCAAUCAGGCGCGAGAACUGCCGCGCGCGCCGCCAAGACUCCCAAUCAGG
rnacentral:lncRNA from 1 species